rnacentral:rRNA from 1 species
GACGAACGCUGGCGGCGUGCCUAAUACAUGCAAGUCGAACGCUGAAGGAGGAGCUUGCUUCUCUGGAUGAGUUGCGAACGGGUGAGUAACGCGUAGGUAACCUGCCUGGUAGCGGGGGAUAACUAUUGGAAACGAUAGCUAAUACCGCAUAAGAGUAGAUGUUGCAUGACAUUUGCUUAAAAGGUGCAAUUGCAUCACUACCAGAUGGACCUGCGUUGUAUUAGCUAGUUGGUGGGGUAACGGCUCACCAAGGCGACGAUACAUAGCCGACCUGAGAGGGUGAUCGGCCACACUGGGACUGAGACACGGCCCAGACUCCUACGGGAGGCAGCAGUAGGGAAGCUUCGGCAAUGGACGGAAGUCUGACCGAGCAACGCCGCGUGAGUGAAGAAGGGUUUCGGAUCGUAAAGCUCUGUUGUAAGAGAAGAACGAGUGUGAGAGUGGAAAGUUCACACUGUGACGGUAGCUUACCAGAAAGGGACGGCUAACUACGUG